rnacentral:lncRNA from 1 species
AUAUAAUUGUCAUUUUUGGAAACCAUCUGGUUGAUAUUUUUCAAAGGUGAAAAAAAAGUGAAUUGGUGGAUGAGAUACAUCAGUACCUCUGAGCAGUUGAAAACACAAGCCUGGUGUCACACAGCUUGGAAAGCAAUUUGUCUGGGCUGCUGGCUGGCUGAGCAGGGUUACACACAGCGCACACGGUGCUGCUGGCUGGCAGCUGGCAAGUCAUCUCAAGGAUACCUGUUCUGCAAGGAACCAGAAAGGGUGGUUGUUACUGUGUUGGAACAGAAGGCUGGUAGCAGACAGAUGUUUGCAUGGUGCUCUCUUGCUUUCCAAGAACUCAAAAAUGGAUUUCCACCUGUAAAGUCACCUUAUUGA